UGACACUCCCACCUUCAACUCCUCAUGUCUCUGUAACUAAGAGACUCAGGCGGCUUCUGUCUCACAGAACAUGGACAUCAUCAUCAUCAAACAAGACCUCCUCAUAUUGUCAGUCUUUUUGCUGUGGACUUCAGGUACUACUGAUGGCAAUGAUGUUAACCAGACCCCCAUACUGUGGAAGAACCAGAGUGAAAGUGCAAAGAUGCAUUGCAACCACACCAAGGGUGUUACCUACUCCCAGAUGUACUGGUACAGGCAGCUGCCUGGAGAAAAUAUGAAACUAAUUGUGUUCACAACAACAUCAAACAACGACUUUGGAGAUUUCAACAAAAAGAAAUUCUCAGCCACUAAACCUGAUGCUGAGAGCGGGACAUUCACAGUGGAAAAUCUGGAGCCAGGAGAUCAAGGCUUGUAUUUCUGUGCUGUGAGUCAACACAGUGAUACAGACACAUGUGGAAGCUGA